rnacentral:rRNA from 1 species
UACGUAGGGUGCGAGCGUUGUCCGGAAUUAUUGGGCGUAAAGAGCUUGUAGGCGGUCUGUCGCGUCUGCUGUGAAAAUCCGGGGCUCAACCCCGGACUUGCAGUGGGUACGGGCAGACUAGAGGUGUGGUAGGGGAGACUGGAAUUCCUGGUGUAGCGGUGAAAUGCGCAGAUAUCAGGAGGAACACCGAGUGGCGAAGGCAG